ACCCCAUGGAGCUUUAAACCUGACAGCACCCGCUCAUUCUAUACCCCAUUAUUUGCCCGACCCCUGUCUGCUCAGUUUUAGGUUGGGGUGACCACGGAGUAUAAAGUAACCUCCAUGAAGAAGGGGAUAUUUCCCUUAUUAGAGAACCACACUUCCAAGAACUAAUAAAUUAAUUUUCAAUGACCCGAUACCCGAUAAUCGAUCAACGAACCAAGUUACCCUGGGGAUAACAGCGCAAUCCACCCUGAAAGCCCUUAUUAACAGGUGGGUUUACGACCUCGAUGUUGGAUCAGGGUAUCCCAGUGGUGCAGCAGCUACUGAGGGUUCGUUUGUUCAACGAUUAAAACCCU
rnacentral:rRNA from 1 species